GAAGAUUUUAUGAUUUUGUUAUUUUUCCAGAUGUGAAUCACAAAAUAGUAAUAAUAAUGCCUGCAAAAUCAAAAUCCUGGUUUAAAUCCUCUUGACUCAAUGAGGCAUUCAAUGUCAUGUUUAGGUUGGCAUAAUUGAGGUCAAGAUCCCUGAAUGAUCCAGAGUUUCAGACUUGCAUGUUGCUUCCAGGCAACUGUUAUAAAGCUGAUGACAUGUCUGGUAUCAAUGGCAAGGUGAUGUCUCCUCCAGUCCUAGAAGUUCUCGUACAAGUCUGUCUCCAAACUGAGCACGACUAUAUCUCUGUACAUGAUAUGCAUCAGACAUUUUGUAGAGGAUGUAGGCAUUGUUUAUUGCAAUGCUUAUUGCAAACCAGAAAACUUGUUGCCAUGUUUUGUUUGGUUUGUGAGAAAUGAAGUACCUGCAAUA